rnacentral:rRNA from 1 species
CGGGGGGCGGGAGCUAGGGUAUGAGCAAUUAUACCGUGAAACUGCGAAUGGCUCAUUAAAUCAGUUAUCGUUUAUUUGAUAGUACCUUACUACUUGGAUAACCGUGGUAAUUCUAGAGCUAAUACAUGCUAAAAACCCCAACUUCGGGAGGGGUGUAUUUAUUAGAUAAAAAACCAAUGCCCUUCGGGGCUCUUUGGUGAUUCAUGAUAACUUCUCAGAUCGCAUGGCCUUGCGCCGGCGACGGUUCAUUCAAAUUUCUGCCCUAUCAACUUUCGAUGGUAAGGUAUUGGCUUACCAUGGUUUCAACGGGUAACGGGGAAUUAGGGUUCGAUUCCGGAGAGGGAGCCUGAGAAACGGCUACCACAUCCAAGGAAGGCAGCAGGCGCGCAAAUUACCCAAUCCCGACACGGGGAGGUAGUGACAAUAAAUACUGAUACAGGGCUCUUUUGGGUCUUGUAAUUGGAAUGAGUACAAUUUAAACCUCUUAACGAGGAACAAUUGGAGGGCAAGUCUGGUGCCAGCAGCCGCGGUAAUUCCAGCUCCAAUAGCGUAUAUUAAAGUUGUUGCAGUUAAAAAGCUCGUAGUUGAACCUUUGGCCUGGCUGGCAGGUCCGCCUCACCGCGUGCACUUGUCCGGCCGGGCCUUCUCUUCUGGAGAACCGCAUGCCCUUCACUGGGUGUGUUGGGGACCAGGACUUUUACUUUGAAAAAAUUAGAGUGUUCAAAGCAGGCCUUUGCUCGAAUACGUUAGCAUGGAAUAAUAGAAUAGGACGUGCGGUCCUAUUUUGUUGGUUUCUAGGACCGCCGUAAUGAUUAAUAGGGACAGUCGGGGGCAUCAGUAUUCAAUUGUCAGAGGUGAAAUUCUUGGAUUUAUUGAAGACUAACUACUGCGAAAGCAUUUGCCAAGGAUGUUUUCAUUAAUCAGUGAACGAAAGUUAGGGGAUCGAAGACGAUCAGAUACCGUCGUAGUCUUAACCAUAAACUAUGCCGACUAGGGAUCGGGCGGUGUUUUUAUUAUGACCCGCUCGGCACCUUACGAGAAAUCAAAGUGUUGGGUCUGUGAGAGAUGAAGUCCCUUG